AUAUAUUUGUUAACAUAUGCACAAAUUUAUUAAUUAUGAUGAAGUCCUUUUAGCAAAAAAAAAACUUAUGAUGAAGUUGAUUAAUAUUGAAUUUUCUAGAACACGUUUUGAUCUUUUAAAACUACUUGUGUUUGCUUUUGUAUUGUUCAAAGUUAGGUUUCCUUCAUCGAUUUGGUAUGUUCAUUAUGCUUACUCUAAUUAGCGCCGUAUACGGAAAGUGGAGGCAUAAAGUUAUACGCUUGAUCUCUUGCAUUUUAAGAACCUUACCAUUCUUCGAAAAGGGUGCAUUAACCAAUGGCGAAGAGAAACACUUUUAUUAAUCGGAGAGUGGAGACACAUCGAGUGGAAAAUUGAGGGAGAGUUUUUUUGUUUAUUGGUAUUGAGGAGUUGGGAAAUAGCGGUUAACUUUUCAAUUAAGCUAGAGCCCUUUUCAUUCUUUUACUGCCUUUGUUCAAACAGAUGCAACAACGUUUUGUAUGUCCGAGGUGUGCCAGAAUAUGAAGUAGAAUUCGGAGACGCUGAACAAGACUAGCCUGUGCCCGUGGACUUAGAAAUCGUCAGUUUUGUUGUAUUCUAUGAGCAUCUUAACCCAACUUGUGAGAUUUCAGCUUUGCUGUUGUUGAAUCGUUUGAUACCUCGAAACUAAAGAAGGCCGCAAGCCCUUUACUUCUUUGAGAAACCAAACUCCAUGCCGGUUUUCCGGGAGGGAAUGCUUGUCGUUUCUAACCAUCAUUUCCAGGCCCCCAAAUUGCGGCCCAAAACACAUUUGAGUAAAGCUGGCCACAUUCAGAGAAACUAAAUGACCCAUUUCGAUUAGUGCUAAAAACCCACGUGCUACUUUAGCCAUGACGAAUAUAGUAUUGUAGAAAAUAGUUUACAGUAUAUAAUUAAAUUCUACUGUCUACUUGUUAUUGAAAAAGUUAAGGUUAAAUAAAAAGGAAAAAUUGUUUGAGUUGAAUUUUGUUUUCAAUUUUACAAGGUCAAGAAAAACUACGGCCGUUGAGUAAGAAGAGUUCACAUUUCAACUCUUUAAUUGUUCCAAGUCAAAAUAUAUGGAUAUUUCGUAUAUUUCUAAGGACUACAUCAUAUUGUAAUGAAUGUUUACACUUUAAUAAAUCAAUUUUAAAGAACAAGAAGAAAUAACAUAACGCUGAAAAGAUUAUUCUUGGAACUAAGAUAAGUUUGGAGAAGUAAGAGGGGUAUUGCCGACGAUCAAAAUAUCAUUACUGUUGGUGAAUAAAGAGGUUAUUUGUGAGAUAGCUAAAAAAAAGGAAAAUUGGUUUUGUAGAAAGAAGGUAGAGAGAGAUAUGAGGAGAGAAAAAAUGUGAGAGAGUGUAUUUUGGUUAGUAAGUGAAUUUUGGAUUUUUUUGAUGUUAUACCAUGCAAUUUUCCUAAAAUAAAAAAUAACGAAAAUGGUAGUUUUUUUUUUGUCAACAAAAUGGUGGUACUACUAGCUACCAUGUCAAUGAACGCCGAUGAUCGGUUCCUAUAACGUGGCAUAUUUUCGUUUAUGAAAUUCAUAAUCCCUUAUUUAUUACACUUUAAUAGUUUUGCGAAGAUUAGUAAUUUCUGUAGCCUGACUUAAUAGUAAUAAAAAGACUAAUUUAUGAGGUGGAGAGAAACACACAACAAGAAGAGAAGAAAAAAGUAGUUGAAAGAGGAAGAGAAACAUCAUGUUUGUUUAUUGUUGGAAAGUGGAUCCUCCACCAACUUAAUUUCGCACGUAUCAAUGUAACUCACAUCACGUGCUAUUAUAUCUUCAACUACAUGCUCCCAGCUCACCACCUACCAUACCAUCCCAUCCCAUUCCAUUCAUCUCAACUACCAAAAAGCACUUCCGAACCAGCUAGAAGGUUUCAAGUGGCAUGUCUUGACGAUGACAACAAUUAACCUUUUUUGAAAAAAAAUUCAGUGUGCUAUAUGCAUGUGUUAGUAGUAUAGGCACGUGUAUUUUCAAGAAUAUAUCAUGCAAAUAGCAGAUCAUGUAAGUUCUCAUACAUGUAUGGUGUGCCACCUGCGCUAUAUAUAUUAUGCCAAAUUGAUUUCAAACAAGCUUAUUGAGCAAUCUAUAAGAACAUAGAGAUUGUAUUUGUCCAAAAUGUUGCUGCUACCUAUGUUACAUGGAAACGGAAGCGGGUACGCGGAAGCGGAAGCGUAUAGAAGCGCAAAAGCGAGAUUUUUU